rnacentral:rRNA from 1 species
GACGAACCGUGCGAACGUUGUUCGGAAUCACUGGGCUUAAAGGGCGCGUAGGCGGGCGGCCGAGUCCGCGGUGAAAGCCCCCGGCUCAACCGGGGAAGUGCCGCGGAGACUGGACGCCUCGAGGCGGGUAGGGGCGAGCGGAACUGUGGGUGGAGCGGUGAAAUGCGUUGAUAUCCACAGGAACUCCGGUGGCGAAGGCGGCUCGCUGGACCCGACCUGACGCUGAGGCGCGAAAGCCAGGGGAGCGAACGGG